GAUGAACGCUGGCGGCGUGCCUAAUACAUGCAAGUCGAGCGAACAGACGAGGAGCUUGCUCCUCUGACGUUAGCGGCGGACGGGUGAGUAACACGUGGAUAACCUACCUAUAAGACUGGGAUAACUUCGGGAAACCGGAGCUAAUACCGGAUAAUAUAUUGAACCGCAUGGUUCAAUAGUGAAAGACGGUUUUGCUGUCACUUAUAGAUGGAUCCGCGCCGCAUUAGCUAGUUGGUAAGGUAACGGCUUACCAAGGCAACGAUGCGUAGCCGACCUGAGAGGGUGAUCGGCCACACUGGAACUGAGACACGGUCCAGACUCCUACGGGAGGCAGCAGUAGGGAAUCUGCCGCAAUGGGUGAAAGCAUGACGGAGCAACGCCGCGUGAGUGAUGAAGGUCUUCGGAUCGUAAAACUCGGUUAUUAGGGAAGAACAAAUGUGUAAGUAACUAUGCACGUCUUGACGGUACCUAAUCAGAAAGCCACGGCUAACUACGUG
rnacentral:rRNA from 1 species